GACGAACGCUGGCGGCGUGCCUAAUACAUGCAAGUCGAACGCAGUGGGGACGGGUGAGUAACACGUGGGUAACCUCCCAUCAGAGGGGAUAACCCUUGGAAACAGGUGCUAAACCGAUACUGAUGGAGCGCCCCGCGGUGCAUUGGCUAGUGGGUGAGGUAACGGCUCACCAAGGCCACGAUGCAUAGCGGACCGGAGGGGGUGAUCGGCCACACUGGGACUGAGGCACGGCCCAGACUCCUACGGGAGGCAGCAGUAGGGAAUCUUCGGCAAUGGACGAAAGUCUGACCGAGCAACGCCGCGUGAGUGAAGAAGGUUUUCGGAUCGUAAAACUCUUUUGGUAGAGAAGCGGUAUCUAACCAGAAAGCCACGGCUAACUACGUGCCAGCAGCCGCGGUAAUUC
rnacentral:rRNA from 1 species